rnacentral:sRNA from 1 species
CAGCUUUAUCCUUUUACACCCAUGUGAGGUACAAGAUAUGCGAGGAUGCAAGGGCAAGGAAGAUGUGAUUGAUCUCACUGGAGAUGAUAAAGAUGAUCUUCAGAGAGCAAUUGCCUUGAGUUUGGCCGAAUCAAACAGGGCAUUCAGGGAGACUGGAAUAACUGAUGAGGAACAAGCCAUUAGCAGAGUUCUUGAAGCCAGCAUAGCAGAGAAUAAAGCAUGUUUGAAGAGGACACCUACAGAAGUUUGGAGGGAUUCUCGAAACCCUUAUGAUAGAAAAAGACAGGACAAAGUUCCCGUUGGGCUAAAGAAUGUUGGCAAUACUUGUUGGUUUAGUGCUGUUAUUCAGUCAUUAUUUAAUCUUUUGGAAUUUAGAAGAUUAGUUCUGAAUUACAAGCCUCCAUCAAAUGCUCAAGAUUUACCCCGAAACCAAAAGGAACAUCGGAAUUUGCCUUUUAUGCGUGAGCUGAGGUAUCUAUUUGCACUUCUUGUUGGUACCAAAAGGAAGUAUGUUGAUCCAUCAAGAGCAGUUGAAAUUCUUAAGGAUGCUUUCAAAUCAAAUGACUCACAGCAGCAAGAUGUGAGUGAGUUUACACACAAAUUAUUAGAUUGGUUAGAAGAUGCCUUCCAAAUGAAAGCUGAAGAGGAGACGGAUGAAGAGAAGCCAAAGAACCCCAUGGUAGAGUUGUUCUAUGGCAGAUUCCUGGCUGUGGGAGUACUUGAAGGUAAAAAAUUUGAAAACACUGAAAUGUUUGGU